CUGGAUGUUUUGCAACCAGUUUAAUAAGGUAUAUCCUUUUAAAAUCAAUAUGUUAUGGUUCUUCAGGCCCCAGCAUGGGGUGCUAGGGGUCGAGUGUUCGAAUCACUCCGUCCCGACCA
rnacentral:tRNA from 1 species